rnacentral:misc_RNA from 1 species
UAUCGCGAAUCAAGUUGCAAAAAAUUAGAGACAACAUUAUAUUGAUUUUGCAAUUUUGUUUAUGGAAGUAAUUAUUUUUAUUAAUGUAAUGGGGAAAAACCUAAUUUACAAGAGGUAUACCAAAAAGUAGAAAGCCUAAACAAAAUUAUGUUUUUUUAAGCAAAACAUUCAAACAUCUAUGGCUAUGGGAAAUGCAGAUCACCUCCUUCCUCACUGCCGGGUUGCUUCGAGGUAUGGUGGGAAAUUGUGUCAUGGUUUUGUCCAGGCAGUGUAAAAGAUCUUAUGUUUAGCUGGAACUGCAGGAGAAGAAGCAGGGAUUGGAUUGUUGCCCCACUAGUAUUGAUGUGGGUCCUGUGGAGAGAAAGAUGAGUUUUUGAGGGUGUAGG